CAAAGAAUAGUUUAAAUAAAAUAUUAAUUUUGGAGAUUAAUGAUAAAAUGAAUAUUUUUUCUUUGA
rnacentral:tRNA from 1 species